UGGGGAAUAUUGCACAAUGGGCGCAAGCCUGAUGCAGCCAUGCCGCGUGUAUGAAGAAGGCCUUCGGGUUGUAAAGUACUUUCAGCGGGGAGGAAGGGAGUAAAGUUAAUACCUUUGCUCAUUGACAUUACCCGCAGAAGAAGCACCGGCUAACUCCGUGCCAGCAGCCGCGGUAAUACGGAGGGUGCAAGCGUUAAUCGGAAUUACUGGGCGUAAAGCGCACGCAGGCGGUUUGUUAAGUCAGAUGUGAAAUCCCCGGGCUCAACCUGGGAACUGCAUCUGAUACUGGCAAGCUUGAGUCUCGUAGAGGGGGGUAGAAUUCCAGGUGUAGCGGUGAAAUGCGUAGAGAUCUGGAGGAAUACCGGUGGCGAAGGCGGCCCCCUGGACGAAGACUGACGCUCAGGUGCGAAAGCGUGGGGAGCAAACAG
rnacentral:rRNA from 1 species